UACGUAGGGACCAAGCGUUGUUCGGAUUUACUGGGCGUAAAGGGCGCGUAGGCGGCGCCGCAAGUCACUUGUGAAAUCUCCGGGCUUAACUCGGAACGGCCAAGUGAAACUGCGGUGCUAGAGUGCAGAAGGGGCAAUCGGAAUUCUUGGUGUAGCGGUGAAAUGCGUAGAUAUCAAGAGGAACACCUGAGGUGAAGACGGGUUGCUGGGCUGACACUGACGCUGAUGCGCGAAAGCCAGGGGAG
rnacentral:rRNA from 1 species